AACGAACGCUGGCGGCGUGCUUAACACAUGCAAGUCGAACGCGAAAGGGACUUCGGUCCUGAGUAAAGUGGCGCACGGGUGAGUAACGCGUAGAUAACCUGUCUUCAUGUCUGGAAUAAUACGCCGAAAGGGGUACUAAUACCGGAUAUUCUUGCUUUUCAUAAGUUAUGCAAGCAAAGGUGGCCUCUGCAUAUGCUACUGCAUGAAGAGGGGUCUGCGUACCAUUAGCUAGUAGGUGGGGUAAUGGCCUACCUAGGCGACGAUGGUUAGCGGGUCUGAGAGGAUGAUCCGCCACACUGGCACUGGAACACGGGCCAGACUCCUACGGGAGGCAGCAGUGAGGAAUAUUGCGCAAUGGGGGAAACCCUGACGCAGCGACGCCGCGUGAGUGAGGGAAAGGCCUUCGGGUCGUAAAGCUCUGUCAAGAGGAAAGAAGUGUACAAUGGCUAAUACCUGUUGUAUUUGACGGUACCUCUAAAGGAAGCACCGGCUAACUCCGUGCCAGCAGCUGC
rnacentral:rRNA from 1 species